UUUAAAGUGUUCAACUCACGUAAAAAUUUGAUUUUUAAAAAGGUAAAUUACCUAAAU
rnacentral:tRNA from 1 species